UCAGCGGGGAAAGAAGACCCUGUUGAGCUUGACUCCAGUCUGGCAUUGUUCGGAGACAUGCCGAGGAGUAGAAUAAGUGGGAGAUGGGGAUUCACACGGUGGAGUUGGAAACAAUUCUUUCGUGCCUUAUCGCCGGUGAAAUACCACUACUCGCAUCGUUUCCUUACUUACUCGGUUAUGCGGAGCGCGUGCUGUUUGGUCCUGGUCUUUGGCCGGUGCCGUUUUGUACGUACACGGUUCGUCAGUGUCCGAGGCAAUGUGUGAAUUCGAUCCGGGUAUUGUUCAAGUUAUCUUGCUUUACCCGUGCUCAAUGUUUUCCACGUCCCCGGAUGCUGUUUCGGCCGUAUGCGUCUCGGUAUCGUGUCGGAGUCCGUCGCGGCCGGCAGUCACGAUCGGUUCCCGGUCGACUUAAGCGCAAUCGCGACGCCUGUCAGUCAGAACGGUCUACGGUAGAGUUUCAGCGUGCAAUGGCUGCUUCGCGGCGGUCAUUCGCGUGAAGUUCUAUCGCCCGGUUUGGCCUGGCGUCGUUGCGUGAUCCGAUCCGAGGACACCGCCAGGUGGGGAGUUCGACUGGGGCGGUACAUCUGUCAAAGAAUAACGCAGGUGUCCUAAGGCCAGCUCAGCGAGGACGGAAACCUCGCGUAGAGCAAAAGGGCAAAAGCUGGCUUGAUCCCGGACGCUCAGUACGCGUAGGGACUGCGAAAGCAUCGGCCUCUCGAUCCUCUCGUCC
rnacentral:rRNA from 1 species